AGUAAUGUCUGGGAAACUGCCUGAUGGAGGGGGAUAACUACUGGAAACGGUAGCUAAUACCGCAUAACGUCGCAAGACCAAAGAGGGGGACCUUAGGGCCUCUUGCCAUCGGAUGUGCCCAGAUGGGAUUAGCUAGUAGGUGGAGUAAUGGCUCACCUAGGCGACGAUCCCUAGCUGGUCUGAGAGGAUGAUCAGCCACACUGGAACUGAGACACGGUCCAG
rnacentral:rRNA from 1 species